UAGCAAAGCGAUCUUUUCUAUUAAUUUGUAAUUUGUACAAAUAUAUUUUUCUAUUUAUGCAUCGAGAAGCAACGUGCUUCGUAACAGUGCAAUACACGAGAGUAAUUGUUUUCCUAAUUUACACGAUGGUUUGUUGUAUGUACGGAUAUAUUACUAACUUGUGAACAAAAAUAAAUGUAAUGCAUGUAUUGAGAAAACGGUUCUGCGAUACAACCUGUUGCUUGAUUGUUGAGAUUUUGUUUUCUGUACGAGUCACGAUUAAUCUUAAAAAAAAAAAAACUCGAAUUUUAGUUUCUCACGAGAAUGGCUUUGCUGAUUUCUUUUCGCGACUGUUAGAAAGUCUCGAGAGAUUUAUACCACCAUUUUGUUUACGUAGGUAGACAGGCAAAAUUAGUGCGAAAGAAAUGUGGAAACGCGAGGUUUAUAAAUAAUUAUCGACGCUAGAGUUAAUCGAAAGUGAUGUAUCUUGUUUAUCGCUCAACUAGAUGCAUUGAAUUUUAAUAACGAUGUAAAUAUCAUUGAUACAUUAAUUACAUGCUCGUCCGACUCUUAAUUUUUAAUUUCUGCAAAUAAGUAUUAUUUAGCUGUGUUGCAUAUUCGAUGUAAACUGCAUUUAAAAUAGACGCGUUGGGAUUGUUUUCCUUUUCAUCGUACUUAAUGUAUUUCUGACGAAAAUUGUCAAUUUGUUAUCGUCUUCCUAGUCUUAUUUGUUCAAAUGUAAAUUGCAAAUAUUCUCGAUGAUCCACGCAUCGUAAGAUUUCACGAAAAACUUUUCGUGAAUUCUUGUAUAUUCGUUAUGUUCACGUUCGAGGCACGCGAGCUUUUUAAAUUUUUAUUAAACCCCUUGCAGUUCGGAUUUCUUGAUUUCGAGCAAUACGAUACGAAAAUACUAAAUGGACUUUAUUUACUAAGAGACACGUACAUUGGGAGUGUUUCCAUUCGCAUCUGUACAAAGUAAUAGAUAAAUAUAGGAUGUUGAAAAAUGUUGAUCGUAAUGUAUACACUCUUAAACGUAACGUUUCUCGCCCGAUGAACAGUCGUCGGGAUGAACGAGAGGAAACUAGUUUAAUGGGUACGAAUUUUAUAUGCGGAGAAUCGAGUUUACUGUGUCAGUGUUCUGUAUAACGUCUUUAAUAAAAAAUAACGUGAAGGAAGUGCUAUAAUUAAAGUUAUUUCCGGAUCGAGGCAGGACCUGGUUCACGUAUGAUAUCCGCCUUUUUAGAUUUUUAUUUAUGUAGCAAUUUUGUCAAUGAAAAUAAAGUUUUAUUUAAAAACGAUA